GAUAAAGCUGUAACGUAGAUGGAACUUCACUGGGAUGCAUUGUCUCAUCACUGAGCUGCUCGGUGAGUCACAAAGGCGAGGAGCAUCUCUCCAGAACAAUGGAGUAGAGUCCUACAUGCAUUUGAGGAAGGGCUCAAUGUCCUCUCAGGUUCAGCUUCUCUGCAGCCCAAAUUUAUUUCAGUUCAAAUAGGACAAAUCUUGAAGCCACAUAUCUUUCCUUUCUUCACCCCUCAUGCUGACCUUCAGAGAGACUCUGAAAUGGGUAAAGGCUCCAAGAUUAAGCUUGCAUGGGAGCAGCAGCCUCCUGCUCAUCAUCAUGAAGUUUGGCUCCAUGUCCACUUCCUUUGCUGGCCAGUGUAGAUUGCUACAGGUGGAGGUGUAUUGGGCACUGCGGCUUUGAAAACCCAGAAGUCACUCCAUGCCAGAUUCAGUGGGUAACGUAGAUGAGGACACACCAUAUUCAAAUUGCCAUAGACAUUCUGAAUCAUUGGAGGACAUAGAGGCAGCCAUAAAAAGACUCUCAAAGGAAGAGGACUUCCAGAACUGCUUCGGAUAAUGCCACGAAUGACGGGGUAAGUGUGUGGCUGCAAGGGAGAGUAUGCUGAGAGGACUUAAUGGCAGUGAAUCAAAUUUUAAAUUUUUUAAAUGUUAUUUAAAUACUCACUGUAUAUAUUAAUCACAGCUUGAACUUAUUUUUGCCAAAGGCAGCACUGAUUAAUGAUGGCCAAGGACUUUGUUUUCAAUUAUGGUGACUUUUUAAAACUAAUUGUAUAAAUAGUAGUGUUUACCUUCAUCUCUCUGAAUUGUUAAUUUUUAUAAAUAAGUGUCAUGAUUUAUUAACUACUGCCAGGUUUCAAUCGAUAGGACAUGACAAGAUAUGUAAGAUAAUGAACUUUAUCUUCAAGUGUGCGUUUAAUGAGUACAUCUCCCUGCUAUGCUUCUCAGUACCAUUAAACUCUGCGGCUUUAAUUUAUUCCAUGUACGGCCUGUUCCCCAACCCACCCUGUCCAGUGGUGAAGUGCAUUAAUGGAGUAUAAGACUCUAGUGCUCUAACUCUAAUCCUUACUCUUUUUCUUAACCUGGAGACUUCUCUAAGCCUCAAUUUCCCCAUCUCUAGACUGGAGAGUAUAGUCGCUGGCCUACUUAGCAAGGUACCCGGUGGCAACAAAGACAAAGCAGCUCAUGUUAAAGUCAUUACGGAGAAUUAUACAAAUGUUAUAUUUAAAUAUUAUUAUGCCCAAAAUUAAAGAGCAGAGAGCCUCUCUUUCCACCUCUCAGUUGUUCCCCUUUUAUCCCCUCAGCUCUGUGUUUACCUUGUGAGAAGCCUCCUUAAAAAUCAUAAAGGGAUGUUUGUGUGGAAGCCGGACCUCUGAAAAACUGCUAGAUCCCAAGCCAUGUUCAGCUAGCAAAAGCCACCCCUAUUCUAGGCUACCACCUUAUAGACAACUAGUGCUGCCCCAUUUCAUUCUGUGCCACGAUGGGAAAGCAAUUCUCCUGUCCCUGUGAGCACAUGCCCCUAAGCCAACCUUUGCAUUCAGCACCUUAUGGUCCUCAUCUACUAGGGCAGAAGUGGACAUGUGAGUCCCCUACAAUAUUAAACCUUGGAUUUUCAAAUAAUAUUGAAUAAUGGCUUUGUAUAAAGGUCAUUUGUUUUUAUCACUAAAGUAAACCUUUUUAUAGACAGUAAGUAAUAAU
rnacentral:lncRNA from 1 species